GCGUAAAAGGAUCUUAUCACAAAGUUUGAGGGCGCCACGUUUUCACAGGAGACGGUGGAAGACGACAUGAACAGUCGUUUAACAAGGAAAUUCAUCGAUGUGGAGCCAUAUGGGCAGCAUCUCCGUGUGUAAAGCAGCAGUUUGCACCAAAUAAGACGCCUGACUGAGAAGAAUAUUGAAGGACUUUGACGCUCAAGAAUUUGGUCUCAAAAGCUUAGACAAGGCACAACUGCUGACUUGCAGUCGUUUGGCGGCGUGCUGUGUGGAGAUCUUCAUUAAAACCCGACUAACGGCACAUCUUCCUGCGAGAGAGAUCCAGUGUUUCAUUGAAGAUUAGACUCGUCUGGCCCGGGGACUCUGAUGAGUUCAAACACAAACGGCCAACCGAGUUGAGGACAGGAAGCAGGAUGUCAAAAACGCUCAGGUGGGGUCGCUGUUCUGCCAAUGUUGUGUGAAACGGACUUCGGUAGGAAACCCAUUUCCGCCGCUGGGAAAAAAGUUAUCCCAAUGGCAGCCUGAAGAGAAGCAUAUGCGAGCUGUUCCCUUUCUCCAACAGAAUGAAAGGUGUUGUGGUGGCAGCAGCGACCUCCCCCAAGGCCAUAAAGGACCUUUCUCCUGACCCGGAUUAAGUGCUGAUGGCCCACCAUAGGGACGUAAUUAUGCCUCAAUCCUUUAUUGAACAUUAGCAGGGAAUUAUGGAUGGAAAAUGUUCUCCGAUAAAUCAAAUCUAAAUGAGCAGUUUUUUAAAGCUUGGCUGUAAGCUUCCAAUUUCAAUGAAAUAAAUAAAUGCUAGCGAGUGAUUAGCUUCUGAUGGAAUAAUGACUUCAUUCCAAAGCAGAGAAUUAUUCAAGUGAAGCCGAGCUUGUGAAUGGGAUUUGCUGAAGUCUUAUCCUGCCAUCUCGUGGCGGAGGUCGGAACUGCACAGUGGAGGAAAAAAAAAAAAGCUCGUUGAGGAUGACGUCACUGCUGGAGCCAUCGGACAAACCGCUGUCCACAAACACGGAGCCUGUGAAGAUGACCAGAGGAGUUGGGAUGCUAAACGUCGCCCGAAUACGCCCCAAGUCUGCUGGACUUACUGCUGCUGUUGGUGCUGUUGCUGGUGACAGAGGAGCUUCGUGAAGACAGCGGGCGAGGAGCCGAGGCCGAUGAGUUCAAAUCGGCUUCGUGCGUCACAUUACCUGAGUUUUCAGCCAGUCGCAGGCGACCGCAGCACAGGUAGGUUCUCCACUGACGACGUACAUUCUCCUUGCAGGCGCAGUGGAAGACAAAGACGAAGAAGCCUACGGGAUUAAAAGUAGCUUCACGCACAGGAAGUGGACACGAGGGCGUGUGCUGUGGGUGAAAUGUGACCUUGCAGGGAGUUGAAGAUGGCGAAGAGGUAGACAAAGGGCAGGUAGAGCGGCCCCCAGGCGAACAGAGCAAAGCCCCAAGCCAGGCCCAGCAGCACCACCAGGCCGGCGAUGCUGCGGAGGUCGGUGGCCAAGCCCCGGUGAGGGGACUGGUUGUGAGGGUUCUGUCUCUUGAUGCGGGACAGCUGGACCAUGACCACCACGAAGACCAGCAGGCACGACGCAAAGAUGAGCAGGAAAGAUGACCACAACCACCACCACGAGAGGAACACCUGCACACACGAAGAUGUUACCAUUCUGCGUUCCAAACAACGAGACACAUGAAACAGGAUACACACCCCAGCCAACGAGCGAGAACUUGAGCAUGUAUCUGCUGAGGUACGGCGUGAACACCCGCACGAUGCUCAGGUACAUGUGCAGGGCCUCCAGCCCGGCCCAGGUGAAGGAGGUCAGCAGGAAGUAGUGCAGGAAGAAGGCGGUGCUGAUGCAAAGGCCGGGGGCCGGAUACAGCGCCAGCCAGCCGUCCAGCAGGUAGACCAGGUUGAGGAAGAGGAGGGAGAAGCAGAGCUGGACCAAGAUCUUGGCUGGAAUGUCCCUCAACAGCUUCCUGCACGGGAACAACAGCGUUUAAAGGACAGGAGAAUAAAUAAUAAGAACUUAAGUGCUUUAUGUACGUGUCUUACACAAACGAAAGGUAAGUCAAUAAGGUGGCGGCAAGAAAAAUAGCCGAAAUGCCGCAGCCGAUAUAGGUGAUGAAGGUGAGAAUCUGUGCCUGCUGGGGGUCUCGUAUCCCCUCUCUGGAGAGGUCCUGUAUUAGGACAGAACAGGGGUGCUACACCACGGUACCAUGAUGUUGUCUCACUGAUUCAAUAAGACUGACCAGCAGAAUGGCGAAGGAGGUGAGGUGGUCGCAGGUGCAGGUCGUCCCCCAUGGAGUGGAGUUCACCACAAAGCAGCCGUCCGAACUCCAACCUCCUGCACCAUCUAAGAAAUAUAAAAGUGAUUAAUAUUAAUUGACAGAAUUGAAAUGGACAAUAUAUAUUCUUACCAUUCAUAGCGAAGUCCCAAAAUGCACAAACGGCCUCAUAGUUCGCCUGAGACAAAGGAAAGAGGAAGUUGAAGUUUUGCUUCUCUAAGACGGUCACGCUGAUGCACGCUUACAUGUAGAGGAUGUAGGUUCCGAAUGGUAAAGCUAAUGUUCUCAGCCAGGUUGCUAAUGGACAGGUUGGUGACACUGGACGCCAGAACUGAACUGACCACAGUCCGGUUGCUCAGUGUGCCAUCCUGGAACAAAUCAGGUGUGUCAGUCAGGACCCAUGUUUGGAGACUAUGGAGGCCAUGACGGAGGGAGCACCUGGAACAGGAUGGGCUUGGUGUAGAAGGUGAACUGGACCCUUUUGACCUGCCUCUGCUCUUCAGGACUCAAGCCCUCAGCGAUGGAGGAAGGCAGGUACACAGACCCCAUGGUGGAGUCCUUCUUCCUGGAUUCGGACCCACUGAGACCGCUUAGCUGUAAAGACCCAACUAAUGAGUACGCAGGAACUUGUAUCUGUUGUAUCUUCACUACCUGAACAUCGUCAGUGUUGUAGAUGUUGAUGGACAUCUCUGGGAAGUUUCUUCCAUCCACUUUUCGCACCGCCAGAACCAGAGAACCGGAAGAGAGGACCACAGAG